rnacentral:rRNA from 1 species
UAGGGAAUCUUCCACAAUGGACGAAAGUCUGAUGGAGCAACGCCGCGUGAGUGAAGAAGGGUUUCGGCUCGUAAAACUCUGUUGUUAAAGAAGAACAUAUCUGAGAGUAACUGUUCAGGUAUUGACGGUAUUAACCGGAANCCACGGCUAACUACGUACCAG